UUUAAAUAAUUCUCCUUCCUUGCUAUUUACUCUUCGAAUGUAUUUACAGUGAAUCAUCUCGCCUUUUUGCAGCCUUCAUUUGGCUAGCUAAGGAAGCCAAGCUUGCGUGCCUGUAGCUCCGGGCCGAGAGCACAGAAGCCCCGUUCCCCCGUCACUCCGCUGCUCCUCCUCUGCACCUGCUGCAACCUGAGUCAGCCUUUUCUGAUCGGCAAAACAAGAGGACGCGCACACACAACAGCAAAAAGAGUGUCAAGGAAGGAAAUUGCAGGUUUGCCUCUGACAGAAACUUAUCGGCAGCCCCGCCGCCGGAGAAAUCCGGGCUCGCUCCUCGCAGCCUUCCCAGCGCUGGGCAGCCCGGAGGAGGCGGCGCCCGGUGCCGGGACCUCGGCGGCGGCAGCGGCCGGGGACGGAGCAGCGCGGACUGUGCCUGCCCGGAGGCGCUGGGUGUUCGGCAGGUGCCCCCCGUUUUCGUACUUUAUUCCUCCCCCCCCCACUCUCCCCGCUUCCCACCCCCGCUGCCUCUCCCCGCGCUGCCUUGCGGCGUUUGAAUGCGGGAGCCUCGCUGCGCCCCUGGCUCGCUCCGUGUGCGGCGCUGGGGGCGGGCCGGCGGCCUUUAAAGAGGCGCUGCCUGCCCGCAGCCGCCCGGCACGGCUGCUCCGGGGGGCCCCCGGACACCUCAGCGCCUUCCCCGGGCUGCCCGGCUCGGCACGGCUCCCCUCGCCCCCCUUUGGCUUAGCCCCGGCCCGCUUCGGCCCCCCUUGGGCUCGCCCCGGCUGUCCCCGGGCGGGGGGUGGGGGGGGUGGGAUAUAA
rnacentral:lncRNA from 1 species